GACGAACGCUGGCGGCGUGCUUAACACAUGCAAGUCGAACGGAAAGGCCCUGCUUUUGUGGUGUGCUCGAGUGGCGAACGGGUGAGUAACACGUGAGUAACCUGCCCUUGACUUUGGGAGAACUUCAGGAAACUGGGGCUAAUAUCGGAUAGGAGCUCCUGCUGCAUGGUGGGGGGUGGAACUUUUCGGCUGUCGGGGUUGGACUGGCGGCUUAUCAGCUUGUUGGUGGGGUAGUUGCCCACCAAGGCUUCGAUGGGUAGCCGGCCUGAGAGGGUGACCGGCCACACUGGAACUGAGACACGGGCCAGACUCCUACGGGAGGCAGCAGGGGGGAAUAUUGGACAAUGGGCGCAAGCCUGAUCCAGCCAUACCGCGUGGGUGAAGAAGGCCGUCGGGUUGUAAAGCCCUUUUGUUGGGAAAGAAAAGCAGCAGGUUAAUACCCCGCUGUUCUGACGGUACCCAAAGAAUAAGCACCGGCUAACUUCGUG
rnacentral:rRNA from 1 species